UAUUGAAGGCACUCGCACGUGAUAUACUGAUGUCAUGAUCAUACAAAGACUUAUUUUUUGCACUGUUAUGUUGUGUAACCUAACCUCAGUAUUAAAAUGUUCUGAUAAUCACGUAACUGUGAAAACUACAUGUCAGCCGCAGAACAGGAUGUUUUGUGCCAAGAAGAGCUAUUGCUGUGACCUUGGAUCCACCCUGCUCAAGCUUUAAACACCGCCCUGAACACUGUCUAAAAUCUUGCACUGAACGCUGAGAAAGCGCACAUUUGAGCUCAUUUGAGCAGCUGCAGCCUUUGCCUGUAGAACAUUUGUGCCCAGAAUAUUCUGCAAUAAAGAUCUUAUAGAAGUUCAUUUCCAGUCUCUGAUUCUGACCCCAACAUUCUCAUCAUCCGAAAUUCAAAGAACACGCGAAGGACUGGCGGAGAAAAUCAUCCUUCAACAAUUGGUGACCCCGGACGUGAUUUCGGGCUGAGGUGUUGGGCGACAGACAGAACAUCGGGCCCACACGAAUGUAAGGUAAGAGGACAUUUAUCCUCCCAAUUGAUCUUCUGUCUGUCGACUGAUACAAGGCAAGAAUUUAUGUUCUAUUGGAAUCUAAAUUGAAUGUUUGACUGGAUGAACUUUAAAUAACAUAAUUUGCUAUAUAAGGUUGACUUGUUUCAUGUUAUAGUGAAAUCCUAAAGUCUGUAAACCCUUGUAUAGGAAGUUCUGCACAAAAUACCGGUGAGAAUAAGAAGAAUAAAUAUCGAGUGGUUUUGAUAAAUUAAGCUUCGAGUACUUUUGUUUGGAUGAAAUAUCAAGUACUUUUGUUUCAGAGAAAAAAGUUUCGACCACUUUUGCGAAAUUAAGGCUCGGACGCUUUUGUUUGGCUAAUAAGCAAGUGUCUUUGAAGUAUGAGAAAUAAAGGUAUAUUGUGGAUCCACAAAAAAUAAGUACUUAAAAAAAAAAAAAACAGCUGAAAAAUGGAAUGGGAAUUCAAUCGAGAAUCGGACUGGUUCGACUUGCGUGUCAUUCCAGACCAUGGUCAAAAAAUACUCUUAAGUGAGCAAGUAAAAAUUGCAUGUAAUGUAUGUGUGGGAGGAUUGUCUGAGAAAGAUAGGGAAAGAAAGAACAACUGUAUAAAUGGAUGAAUGAAUGCUGUGAGGAUGGCUGGUUUCCUGCAUUAUCAACUGCUGCUUGUUUAGUUUCACUGACGAAGGAAGUCGAGAGAGUAUGUUCAAAAAGAAAAAAACAGUUGGAGAAGGAAAUAGAGAAGAUGAGUAAAUUGUCCACUAAAGGCAGGAAGGUAAGAGAAAAUCACAAAAAGACAGAAAAAGUAAUGGCAAAAGCUAGAAUGCUGGCAAUGGGAUGUGCAUUAAAACAAUCAAGAAAAGAAAUAAAAUACAGUGGGGUGGGUGUGACUCAGCCGUUGUCCGCACCGCCGCCGUAUUGUGGUAAAUUGGAAAUAAAUGAUACAAAAGGGCCAGUGAACCCAUUCACUGAGUCACCAUAUGCAGAUGCGAGACAGACGCUGCAAAACAUACAAGCCCCUAUUUUAUCUGUAAAUAGAAGAACUCUAGAUGUGGAUUGGAAUGGCAGUACUGACUCGGUGGGAUCGAAACAACGUCAACCCCUGAUUCAGCACGCAGCAGAAAAUUUGGCCGCAGGCGUAACCGCCUCAGUUAAAAUGUUCGAGGAAAGACUGGAAAAAGUGUCAAACAUGCGCGGAGAACCAUAUAAAAAGUUAAACCAAAUAGGAGCGUUUACGGUGGACUUAAAUAGACACCCUGAAGUGCCACAAAAGGUAAGAGAGCAGCUUUUAGCGCGUGCCUCCCGUUUUGAGAGAACUGUCAACGCUGAAAUAACAGAACAGAUACAACGUGAUAACGCGGAACGAGAUGAAAUAUUCAGACACAGGGAACAGGAGAUAGCAGCAGAAGAAGCUCAGAAGGGACUCCCCCAUCAGGUAGCAAACACUUAUCACAUCGCACAUUUGCAAAAUCAGAUGGCUGACUUAAGGUGCCAAGUGCAGACUUUGUCAGGAGCACACCCGGGCUCCCUGUUACAACAGACACAAGAAAAUAGAAGUGCGCCCCUUUUUGCUGAAUCCACUCCACUGCGACCAAUGACACGCUCUCAAACUGUUGUCCAAGCUCCAAUGCUGGCCAAGGUUGAUCCGGCUACUGGAGCCACUGCCAUGUUUUAUAAACCUCUUUCUCCUUCUGAUCUAAGUGUUUUGAUGCAGAAACUUCCGCCAAUGCAGAAUGGAGGAGAGAACUGGCUGAGAUCGGUACAAAGGGCUGUCACAGGACAAAUUUUAACAGCAGGAGACAUGCGCGCAUUGUUGACACAUGCGUGUCCUCUCUCCCAACUGGAGACACUGAUGAAGAAUUCUGGUCUGAUAAGUAUAAUGGACAAUGAGGCACUCACAAGAGAGUAUUACUUAACAUUGUUCACUGCACUAAACGCGUUGUUUCCCAUUCCUGAUCUAGUCAUUUCCGACUUAGUAUUUGCUCCUAGAACAGAUGUGGAAGCAGCGGCAUAUAUUGACCGCGCUCUUGUCGAAUAUUCUUCAAAAACAGGCCAUUUGCCAACUGACUCUGCUCUGUAUUCUCAAGUAUUUAGAGCAGCAGUGUUGAAGGGCGUUCCUAAGUCUGUGGUGCAAGCCAUGGAGGCGAAUCCGGACCUUCCCGGAGCAGAUCAUGCUCGCUGGUUGUCACAUCUGAAACACCACCUGAGGAGACAUGCAAAAGAAAAAGAGUCAAAGCAUGAGAAACACAGAACCACCAAAUCACAAUUAGCUAUAAUGCAACUACAAAGUCUCAAAAAACAAGAAGAAAAUAUUAAAAUCACACCUGUGGCUUCCGUUGGAGCCUCGCUACCUAAUGUUGUUUCUGAGUGCAUGAUGUAUCAAACAGGGCCAUUCAUGGGUCGAGGUGCUCCAUUUGCUGGCAGAUAUCAAUGCUUCAACUGUGGUCGUAACGGACACUGGGCAAGAGACUGCCGAGCGCGUCCCCUGGAGGGCGGAGGCAGAGGAGGAAGUGGCCCGCCUAGAGGAUUCAACAGGCGUGGUUAUGGCCAGCAAAGCGGAAGGGGAUACGGAUAGCAACAGCAGCAGGAUAUGACUCAACAAUAUCCACCGCACCAGCAGCAGUCUUACCCUCAAGUGCCGAACCAACAGCACCUGCCACCGUCUGGGGGCCAGUAUCCACAAUGAUGGGCCCCCGAAUCCACAUGCCACGGUCUGCAGGAACCAAUGAUCGGACUGACGGUAGGAGGAACUAUUUGACCUUUUAUGGUCGAUACGGGAGCCAGACAUUCAACCGUUAUAACAUUACCACCUGAAAGUUCCCUUACUGCAAAAGGCAUUUCACUUGUUGGAUUCCGGGGUGAAGAAACCAUCCUGCACAUGAGUACACCCGUACCUACUCAGUGUUUUACAGAAACUCUUUUACACUCGUUUGUGUAUGCGCCCAAUUGCCCUGUCAACCUGUUGGGAAGGGAUCUUCUCAUCAAAACAGCUCCAACAAUACUGUGCAGCCCGGAUGGACUGAUAUUACAGUUUCCUGAUGGACACACCUACUGUUGCUCCGGUGACGACACAUCAAACAUCUACAUGCAGGACUCAGAGCGACAACUACCAAGCAUGACGUGUGCCACCGCCGACAUCUACUGGGCGAAAAUGGACACUGACUCACCCGGCUGGACGGAAGCAGAGACCUUUUGGACUCAAUGGUCGCCAUGGGUUCGUCACCUCAGACCCUAUGAUAUUGGGGCAUCUGAUUCGGAUGCCUCCCGGACGCCUCCCUGGUGAGGUGUUCCGGGCACGUCCCACCGGGAGGAGACCCCGGGGACGACCCAGGACACGCUGGAGAGACUACGUCCUUCGGCUGGCCUGGAAACGCCUCGGGAUCCCUCCGGAAGAGCUGGAUGAAGUGGCUGGGGAGAGGGAAGUCUGGGCGUCCCUGCUAAAGUUACUGCCCCCGCGACUCGACCCGGCGGAUAAGCGGUGCAGAUCUUUUAGUUGCUCAGAAGAUCUAUGUGCGAUUCUUCGAGCCAGAGAACCCAUUUACAAGGAGACCAAUGUCACAUACGUGUGGCUGUGUUCUGGAGUUGCCCAAAAACUAUGGGUCCUACCCUGAGUUGGCAGAGGAGUUUGAUAGUAUACUUAAUGCAAACAUGUGGGUGAUGGACAUAAUUUAGUUUUCAUUGUAACACAACAUCUUUGUUCCCCUAUUGUUAGAUAUAUUGUAGAAGUUAUCAUUUAUUUGCUUAGCUUGCAUUAGUAUUAUGGACAAUGUUUAGAAAGAAAGAUGUCUCGCCUUCAAGAAGAUGACUCAGCAGGAAUCAUCUGAGAGAAGGACGUGGCCGGGACGUGGCAGGUGCCAUGUUUUCACCUUGAAACCCUACCCUUAGUGUGUUGUGGCUUAAUGCUUAGAACAUUAUGUCUUGUAGAACCCUCCUAUUUUCAAAUAAAUGUAGGAGCGACGGGGGAGAUUGUUUAGAGCGUGUUGAGAGGCUGUAAC